rnacentral:tRNA from 1 species
AGAUAUAUAUUUAAAUAUAUAAAAUCUAUUCUGCAAAUAGAAAUUGAUUAAAAUCUAUAUCUA